GUAACUUGCUGACGCGGUGCUCUCUUGUCUCCAGCAGGAGACCAGGUUUGAGAAGUCGCUGCGGGAGAAGAAAGGUUUCAUCAUCAAGCAGAUGAAGGAGGACGGGGCUUGUUUAUUCCGGGCUGUGGCUGACCAGGUCUAUGGAGACCAGGACAUGCAUGAAGUGGUCCGGAAGCACUGUAUGGACUACCUGGUGA